UGGGGAAUAUUGCACAAUGGGCACAAGCCUGAUGCAGCCAUGCCGCGUGUGUGAAGAAGGCCUUCGGGUUGUAAAGCACUUUCAGCGGGGAGGAAGGCGUUAAGGUUAAUAACCUUGGCGAUUGACGUUACCCGCAGAAGAAGCACCGGCUAACUCCGUGCCAGCAGCCGCGGUAAUACGGAGGGUGCAAGCGUUAAUCGGAAUUACUGGGCGUAAAGCGCACGCAGGCGGUCUGUCAAGUCGGAUGUGAAAUCCCCGGGCUCAACCUGGGAACUGCAUUCGAAACUGGCAGGGUAGAGUCUUGUAGAGGGGGGUAGAAUUCCAGGUGUAGCGGUGAAAUGCGUAGAGAUCUGGAGGAAUACCGGUGGCGAAGGCGGCCCCCUGGACAAAGACUGACGCUCAGGUGCGAAAGCGUGGGGAGCAAACAGG
rnacentral:rRNA from 1 species